AGGACGAACGCUGGCGGCGUGCUUAACACAUGCAAGUCGAGCGGAAAGGCCCUUCGGGGUACUCGAGCGGCGAACGGGUGAGUAACACGUGAGUAAUCUGCCCCUAGCUCUGGGAUAGCUCCGGGAAACCGGGAUUAAUACCAGAUACGACCACUUUAGACAUCUGUUGUGGUGGAAAGAAUUUCGGCUAGGGAUGAGCUCGCGGCCUAUCAGCUUGUUGGUGAGGUAACGGCUCACCAAGGCGACGACGGGUAGCCGGCCUGAGAGGGCGACCGGCCACACUGGGACUGAGACACGGCCCAGACUCCUACGGGAGGCAGCAGUGGGGAAUAUUGCGCAAUGGGCGAAAGCCUGACGCAGCGACGCCGCGUGGGGGAUGAAGGCCUUCGGGUUGUAAACCCCUUUCAGCAGGGACGAAGCGAAAGUGACGGUACCUGCAGAAGAAGCGCCGGCUAACGUACGCGCCAGCAGCCGC
rnacentral:rRNA from 1 species